UUAGUGAUAGGCCAGGAAAGCGGUACCGUCCUUAGAGGUAUCAUAACCAGUAUAGCCAUCAUUUUGUUUAAUUGAGAGAACUGGCACGUACGACAUGUGUAACACCCUUCUAAAAUACCCCAAUAAUAAUUAAAACAACAAAUAUAAAUCAGAGUAGAUAUGCAAUUUCAGGGUGUCACACUUGACACUUCACACCAUUCACCAAAAUAGUUUGUCAUGUGUCAAUGACUCAUUUAAUAAUCAAAUAAAAUAUUGCACAAUUCGCAGCGGAAUGCAACCAUGUAACACAUUACAUGUAAAAUUAUUCAACAACCAAAUGAAAACAAGGUAAAACAUCCCGUCCGAUGUUACAUAUACCAGAGCAUGACCCACUAAGGAACUACACUAGACUUCAAGCACUAGCUUCUACUCAAUCACUGCUCGUUACCUGAAACAUAGUUGUAAGGGUGAGUUCCUCAAUCGAUAUAAUAAGCAUUAUAAAUAUCAUGUAAUGCUAGUAAUUUAACACAUUUCAAUCACCAAAUCAGAUCCACCCAUUCAGCAACGACAACAUCAACUCAUAAUCAAUACUCACACAAACACACAACACACGUAUAAUAUGGAAUACAUCCAUUCAUAUUAUACGCCAUCAUACAUUAUGCAAUGAGACUCCAUGCAUGCGGUACCGACUAUUCGUGAACACAUAGUUCAACCUCACGCCGAUCAAAUACAGAUACGCUACCAACUCACUAGUCCCCACUCAUUUGAGACCUAGUGACUCACUCACUAAUUCCUCACAUGGAAUUGCUCUACCACCAUAAAGGCCACACUAUGCACGCUAAAUCACCUAGCAUGCAAACAUCAACAACAAUCCACAAUGGACAUAUGCUCACACUCUAAGCCAUAAACAGUCCAUUCACAAUUGCAUACAUAAUAGAUACAUUCACAGCAUUAUGCAUACCAUCAUACAUCAUCAGCAUAUUUAUCACAGAAUCAUAUCAUGUCAUGCCAAAUAAUAAAUCACAGUAUUAGCACACUCUACUAAUACCUAUACUGCUCAAAACAACGGGAAAUGAUCCCUACUAUAUCAUACAUCAGCUAAAUUACAUCACUCAGCUGAAACGACCAAAACCUCACAACAACAGCUCAGAAAAAUCAAACUUCUGCCCAUACACGUAUGCCUCAUGCCCAUACGCGUAUGGCACAUUUCCUAGCCAAGCCCAUACGCGUAUGGCCUGUCUCAUACGCGUAUGAUACGCGUACCACUUCUCCCAUACGCGUACCAACAGAGACAAAACUACGUUAGAACAUCAUCUUCUUCAUUCAUACGCGUAUGGCCUCACCCCAUACGCGUACCACUCACAGGCUACGCGUAAGUACACGCGUAUGGCGCGUAUCAGCACCAGUCUCCUCCCCUCCAGGCCAUCUCAUACGCGUAUGGCCUAGUGUCAUACGCGUAUGACCAGAAACCAAAAUUCCAGAUCUGCUAUGGGUUUUUCUCUGCUACGAGAUUUCUCAAAUCCAACCUCCCACAGUCCAAUUUUUACACAGCAUUCGUUCAUAUUAUCUAACACAGAUCAUACCCAUUCAAUUUCACAAUUUCUAACCUUAUUACAUCUAAUUCCUACGAAUUUUCUUCAAUUAUAAACCCAUAUCUCAUUCAUCCAUAAGUUCACAAUUUGCAGCAUUCAUCAUCCUAAUUAGAGUCAAUUCAAUGGCUUAUUACUACCCAUUACAUGUUAACCCAUAAUACCCAUUAAACGACGAUAAACCCCCCUUACCUGAGUUAAUCCGGCAAAUCCUUUAACUUCAAGCUUUUCCCUUCUUCAACCCUUGUUCUCUUGCUCUUCCUCUUUGCCCUUUUCUCACUUUCUGUCGCUUCUCUGGUUUUCACGUGAAAAACCCUUUUUACCAAAUGGAACUCUUUAUAUAUAUUCCAACUUUAUUAUUCCAAUAAUAAUAAUCCAAUAAUAUUCCAAUUAUUUAAUUAAAUUAAUAAAUAUACUAUUAACUUAAAUUAAAUAAUUAUCAUAUUUUAUCGGGGUGUUACAACUCUCCCCCACUAAAAGAGUUUUCGUCCUCGAAAACAUACCUCAAGCGAAUAACUCUGGAUAAGACUCCUUCAUCUGACUCUCAAGUUCCCAAGUCACAUUGCCACCUGCUGGUCCUCCCCAAGCUACCUUUACCAAAGCAAUCUCUUUACCCCGCAACUGCUUCAACUCUCGAUCCUCGAUCCUCAUAGGUGAUGUUUCAACAGUCAGGUUAUCUCUCACCUGUACAUCAUCUACUUGGACCACAUGCGACGGAUCAGGAAUGUACCUCCUCAACUGAGACACAUGAAAAACCUCAUGCAAAUUCGCAAGUGACGGCGGUAAAGCGAUACGAUAGGCUACCUCCCCUAUCCUCUCCAAAAUCUGAUAAGGACCAAUAAAUCGAGGUGUCAACUUCUUCGACUUCAAAGCUCGACCAACCCCAGUUAUCGGAGUAACACGAAGAAACACAUGAUCUCCCUCUUGAAACUCAAGUGACUUCCUCCUCUUGUCGUGAUAACUCUUCUGACGACUCUGAGCAAUCCUCAUCUUCUCCUGAAUCAUCUUAAUCUUUUCCGUAGUUUGUUGAACAAUCUCCGGUCCAACCACAGCACUCUCACCGGACUCAUACCAACAUAAAGGUGUCCGACAUCUCCUACCAUACAAAGCUUCAAACGGUGCCAUACCAAUGCUCGAAUGAAAACUAUUGUUGUAGGUAAACUCAAUCAAAGGUAAAUAACAAUCCCAAGCACCUCCCUUUUCCAAAACACAAGCCCUCAAAAGAUCCUCCAGUGACUGAAUCGUCCUCUCAGUCUGACCAUCAGUCUGCGGAUGAUAUGCAGAACUCAAUCUCAGCUUAGUUCCCAAAGCCCUCUGCAAACCUUCCCAGAACUUCGAUGUAAAUCUAGGAUCUCUGUCCGAAACAAUACUCGACGGAAUACCAUGCAAACUUACAAUUUUCUCAAUAUACAACUCAGCUAAUCUCUCUAACGGAUAAUCCAUUCUGAUCGGAAUGAAAUGAGCCGAUUUUGUCAAUCUGUCAACAAUCACCCAAAUAGCUUCAAAAUUCUUAAUUGUCCUCGGUAAACCAGAAACAAAAUCCAUACUGAUACUAUCCCACUUCCACUCUGGAAUAGCCAACGGUUGCAUUAGCCCAGACGGCUUCUGAUGCUCAAUCUUUGACUUCUGACAAGUCAAACAAGAAUAAACAAAACUCGCAAUUUCUCUUUUCAUUCCCGGCCACCAAAAUAACUUUUUCAAAUCAUGAUACAUCUUCGUAGCCCCAGGAUGAAUACUCAGGCCACUACGAUGUCCUUCCUCAAGAAUACUCUUCUUAAGUUCGGUAACAUCCGGAAUACACACCCGAUUACCAAAUUUCAAAACACCAUUCUCAUCAACUCUGAAUUCACCACCUUGACCUUGAUUCACUAGAGUCAACUUAUCAACCAAAAGCACAUCGGAUUUCUGACCCUCUCUAAUCUCAUCCAGAAUACCACUCGUUAACUUCAACAUUCCCAAUUUAACACUAUUGUGAGUACUCUCACACACCAAACUCAAGUCUCUAAACUGCUCAAUUAAAUCCAAUUCCUUAACCAUUAACAUAGACAUAUGCAAUGAUUUCCGACUCAAUGCAUCAGCCACUACGUUUGCUUUACCCGGAUGGUAAUUCAAACCAAAGUCAUAAUCCUUCAGAAACUCUAACCAUCUCCUCUGUCUCAUAUUCAGCUCUUUCUGAUCAAACAAAUACUUUAAACUUUUAUGGUCACUGAAAACCUCAAAUCUUGACCCGUACAAGUAAUGCCUCCAUAACUUCAGAACAAAUACCACAGCUGCCAACUCUAAAUCGUGUGUCGGAUAGUUCCUCUCAUGAACCUUCAGUUGUCUCGAAGCAUAAGCUACAACCUGCUUAUUCUGCAUCAAAACACCACCCAAACCCAACAAUGAAGCAUCACAGUAAACCUCAAAUGGUUCCGACGGACUUGGUAAUAUCAGAAUAGGAGCAGUAGUUAACCUUCUCUUUAACUCUUGGAAACCUUCUUCACAUUUUGAGUCCCAAACAAACGCUUGCCCCUUUCUAGUCAACAUCGUCAACGGUAACGCCAACUUAGAAAAUCCCUCAAUGAAUUUCCUAUAAUAACCUGCAAGUCCAAGAAAACUCCUUAUCUCAGAAACUGACUUCGGAGCUUCCCACUUAGAUACCGCUUCUAUCUUAGAAGGAUCAACAGCAACACCACCUCUUGAAACCACAUGACCAAGAAAACUAACCUCUUCUAACCAAAAUUCACACUUGGACAGUUUAGCAAAUAACUUCUUUUCUCGUAGAACUCCUAAAACCACUCUCAAAUGUUCAGCAUGCUCUUCUUCAGAUUUCGAAUACACCAAAAUAUCGUCAAUAAACACCACAACAAACUUGUCUAGGUACGGAUGGAAAAUCCUAUUCAUAUACUCCAUAAAUACCCCAGGCGCAUUAGUCACACCAAAAGGCAUUACAGAAUACUCAUAAUGUCCAUACCUUGUUCUGAAAGCAGUCUUCUGAAUAUCCUCAGUUUUCACACGUAUCUGAUGAUACCCCGAUCUCAAAUCUAUUUUGCUGAACACACUCGCACCAACCAACUGAUCCAUCAAAUCAUCAAUCCUCGGCAAAGGAUACCGAUUCUUGAUCGUCACUUUAUUCAGUUGCCUGUAGUCCACACACAACCUCAUAGUACCUUCUUUCUUCUUAACCAAUAACACUGGUGCGCCCCACGGUGACACACUCGGACGAAUAAAUUUCUUAUCCAACAGAUCUUCCAGCUGACUCUUCAAUUCAGUUAACUCAACAGCAGACAUACGGUACGGAGCCAUCGAUAUCGGCCUAGUACCAGGUACCAAAUCAAUCGAGAACUCAACUUCACGCUCUGGCGGUAAUUCAUUCACUUCUUCAGGAAACACAUCAGGAAAAUCACACACCACGGCUAGAUCGCAAAUCACCAGUUUAUCUUUAGCCUCCAAAGUCGCUAACAGCAUAAACAACUCUGCCCCAUCUGCUACUGCCUCAUUCACCUGCCUUGCUGAUAGAAACAAACUCUUUCCUUCCUCAAUCUCAGGAAAGAUCACAGUCUUAUCAAAACAGUUGAUAUAAACUCGGUUAAACACCAACCAGUUCAUACCCAGGAUAACAUCAAUCUGCACUAGUGGAAGACACACGAGGUCCAUCCCAAAGUCUCUACCAAAAAUACUCAAAGGACAAUUUAAACAAACUGAAGUAGUAGUCACUGAACCCUUCGCAGGAGUAUCAAUCACCAUACUCCCAUGCAUCUCAGAUAUCUCUAAUUUAAGUUUCACAGCACAAUCCAAAGAUAUAAAGGAAUGAGUCGCACCUGUGUCAAUAAUAGCUACAAGAGGAAAGCCAUUAAUAUAACACGUACCUCGGAUCAAACGAUCAUCUGCAGAAGUCUCAGAACCCGAUAAAGCAAAGACCUUGCCUCCCGACUGGUUCUCUUUCUUCGGCUUAGGACACUGUGGACUGAUAUGACCCACCUCUCCACAGUUGAAACAAGUCAUAGUCUUCAACCGGCACUCUGCAGCCAAGUGACCACCUUUGCCACACUUGAAACACUUCUUCUCAGUACUGGUACACUCAUGGAUACGAUGUCCAGCCUGACCACAUCUGUAACACUUAGCAGGGGCACUGGAGUCUCCCCCACUAGGUCUCUUCAUCCCACUCUGUCUCUGGAAACCUUUGCCAGCUGCAUACGGUUUCCCACGAUCAUUCUGAUUCUUGCCUUUCCUAUCAACCCUCUGCUGAUAGCUCUCCGCUCUGGCCUUGGUAUCCUGUUCAAAAAUCCUGCAACAGUCAACCAAGUCAGAAAACACUCUAAUCCGCUGAUACCCAAUAGCCUGCUUGAUCUCGGGACGUAACCCGUUCUCAAACUUCACACAUUUUGAAAAUUCCCCAGUAGCCUCAUCAUAGGGAGUGUAAUACUUCGACAGCUCUGUGAACUUAGCAGCAUACUCAGUAACAGACCGGUUGCCCUGCUUCAAUUCUAAGAACUCUAUCUCUUUCUUUCCUCUGACAUCCUCUGGAAAGUACUUCCUCAGGAAUCUCUCUCUGAACACCGCCCAAGUGAUCUCAGCACUCCCAGCAGCUUCCAACUCAGUGCGGGCAGCAACCCACCAAUCAUCUGCUUCCUCUGACAGCAUAUGCGUACCGAACCUGACCUUCUGGUUAUCGGCACACUCAGUCACUCGGAAGAUCCUCUCGAUCUCCUUCAACCACUUCUGAGCACCAUCUGGAUCGUAUGCUCCCUUGAACAUUGGAGGAUUGUUCUUCUGGAACUCACUCAGUUGACGAGCAGCUCCCAUUCCCACAACAUUCGGAUUCCCUCCAAGUACUCCAGCUAGCAUACCCAGAGCCUCAGCAAUCGCAGCAUCGUCUCUACCUCUUCCAGCCAUCUCUAUUCUGAAAACCCAACAAGCUAAAACAAUAAGUACUGAUAGGGUUACACAACACCUAUCACGUACAGGGAAACAGAAUAAUUACGACUCGACUCGACCGACUAUGCUCUGAUACCACUAAUGUAACACCCUUCUAAAAUACCCCAAUAAUUAAUUAAAACAACAAAAUAUAAAUCAGAGUAGAUAUGCAAUUUCAGGGUGUCACACUUGACACUUCACACCAUUCACCAAAAUAACUUGUCAUGCUCAUUUAUUAAUCAAAAUAAAACAUUGCACAAUUCGCAGCGGAUAGAAAUCUAACAACAUGCAAACCAUGUAACACAUUACAUGUAAAAUUGUUCAACAACCAAAAAUGAAAACAAAGUAAAACAUCCCGUCCCGAUGUUACAUAUACCAGAGCAUGACCCACUAAGGAACUACACUAGACUCCAAGCACUAGCUUCUACUCAAUCACUGCUCGUUACCUGAAACAUAGUUGUAAGGGUGAGUUCCUCAAUCGAUAUAAUAAGCAUUAUAAAAUAUCAUGUAAUGCUAAGUAAAUUAACACAUUCAUCACCCUAAUCAUAUCACACAUUCAGCAACGGCAACAUCAACUCAUAAUCAUACUCAACACAAACACAAAACACACGUAUAAUAUUGGAAUACAUCCAUUCAUAUUAUACGCCAUACAUACAUUAUGAAAUGAGACUCCAUGCAUGCGGUACCGACUAUUCGUGAACACAUAGUUCAACCUCACCGAUCAAACCCAGAUACGGCUACCAAGCUCACUAGUCCCACUCAUUUGAGACCUAGUGACUCACUCACUAAUUCCUCACCAUGGGAAUUAGCUACCACCAUAAAGGCCAUGCUAUGCACGCUAAAUCACCUAGCAUGCAAACAUCAACAACAAUCCACAAUGGACAUAUGCUCACACUCUAAGCCAUAAACAGUCCAUCCACAAUUGCAUACAUAAUAGAUAUAUUCACAGCAUUAUGCAUACCAUCAUACAUCAUCAGCAUAUUUAUCACAGAAUCAUAUCAUGUCAUGCCAAAUAAUAAAUCACAGUAUUAGCACACUCUACUAAUACCUAUACUGCUCAAAACAACGGGAAAUGAUCCCUACUAUAUCAUACAUCAGCUAAAUUACAUCACUCAGCUGAAACGACCAAAACUGCACAACAACAGCUCAGAAAAAUCAAACUUCUGCCCAUACACGUAUGCCUCAUGCCCAUACGCGUAUGGCACAUUUCCUAGCCAAGCCCAUACGCGUAUGGCCUGUCUCAUACGCGUAUGAUACGCGUACCACUUCUCCCAUACGCGUACCAACAGAGACAAAACUACGUUAGAACAUCAUCUUCUUCAUUCAUACGCGUAUGGCCUCACCCCAUACGCGUACCACUCACAGGCUACGCGUAAGUACACGCGUAUGGCGCGUAUCAGCACCAGUCUCCUCCCCUCCAGGCCAUCUCAUACGCGUAUGGCCUAGUGUCAUACGCGUAUGACCAGAAACCAAAAUUCCAGAUCUGCUAUGGGUUUUUCUCUGCUACGAGAUUUCUCAAAUCCAACCUCCCACAGUCCAAUUUUUACACAGCAUUCGUUCAUAUUAUCUAACACAGAUCAUACCCAUUCAAUUUCACAAUUUCUAACCUUAUUACAUCUAAUUCCUACGAAUUUUCUUCAAUUAUAAACCCAUAUCUCAUUCAUCCAUAAGUUCACAAUUUGCAGCAUUCAUCAUCCUAAUUAGAGUCAAUUCAAUGGCUUAUUACUACCCAUUACAUGUUAACCCAUAAUGCCCAUUAAACGACGAUAAACCCCCCUUACCUGAGUUAAUCCGGCAAUUGAUUCUUUAGCUUCAAGCUUUUCCCUUCUUCAACCCUUGUUCUCUUGCUCUUCCUCUUUGCCCUUUUUCCACUUUUGAGUCGCUUAUCUGCUUUCACGUGAAAAACCUUUUUACCAAAUGGGACUCUUUUCUGAUUCCAACUUUAUAUUCCAAUAAUAAUAAUCCAAUUAUUUAAUUAAAUUAAUAAAUAUACUAUUAACUUAAAUUAAAUAAUUAUCAUAUUUUAUCGGGGAGUUACAACAUGCGAUAUUCAACAUCAACUACCAUAACUUUCAAGGCACAAAAUAUAACACUAAUAUUUAAAAUACUAUCAAUUGAAACUAUCAUAAUCACAGUUAAAAACAAAGACCAACUAAAAUACAAUUAAAAGUGUUGUUGCACUAAAACUGAGUUCAAGAUCGGAACAUCCUACAAAGGAAAUCACUGUGGAAAAUUAAGAAAAAUUUCUAACUCAUUUGAAACAGAAACAACGUUAAUGGCAAAACCGGAGUACCCAACAUAGCAUAUCAUAAUUUCAAUAGAACAACCAUAAAUACUUACAUGACUCCAUGAUAA
rnacentral:lncRNA from 1 species